UACGUAGGUGGCAAGCGUUGUCCGGAUUGACUGGGCGUAAAGCGCACGCAGGCGGUCGCGCGCGUGGGGUGUGAAAUCUGGCCGCUUAACGGCCAGGCGCCAUCCCAUACGGCGCGACUGGAGCCUUGCAGAGGGCGGUGGAAUUGCCGGUGUAGUGGUGAAAUACGUAGAUACCAGGAGGAACACCGGUGGCGAAGGCGGCUUCCUGGCCGAAUACUGACGCUGAGGCACGAAAGCGUGGGGAGCAAACGGG
rnacentral:rRNA from 1 species